AAUUUAUCAUGGUAUAGUACAUGAAUGAGUCUAGAAGGAUCUUGAAUGUUGGCUUGUUUGAUGAGACCCAGCGAUGAAACCCUGGUGGAUAUAGUUGUGGAACUUAGGUAUGGAAUCUAGAAUGUUGUGUAAGCUUGUAGAGAAGUACAUGUUGGUUAGGAUUUGAUUAGACUUGUUAGGCAUAUGGACUUAGUUUGAAUGAUCAUGGCAAUAGGCUAGAGAAUGUUGGGAGUUCCUUUGUUUUCAAAACCUCUUCCACUGGUUCGGCUUUUGUGUUUUGCUUGAGGGCAAGCAAAAGGUAAGUCUGGGAGAGUUGAUAUAACCCGAUUUUCACCAAUUUGAUCUAUGUUUUAGGUAUAAGAUUUUGAGUCUUUAUGUUAUUUCUCGAGUCUUUUUAGUGCCUUUUCAGGUAUUCUAUGCAAUGGGAAAACAAUGGAGAUAAGGAGACAUUUUGGAGCAAAAGCUAAGGAAAAGGAAGCUAAGGACGAUUUUGGUUCAGGAAUCAGCGAGGAGUGUCGAUCGACACACUCUUGGUGUCAAU
rnacentral:sRNA from 1 species